CCUACGGGAGGCAGCAGUGGGGAAUCUUGCGCAAUGGGCGAAAGCCUGACGCAGCCAUGCCGCGUGAAUGAUGAAGGUCUUAGGAUUGUAAAAAUUCUUUCACCGGGGACGAUAAUGACGGUACCCGGAGAAGAAGCCCCGGCUAACUUCGUGCCAGCAGCCGCGGUAAUACGAAGGGGGGCUAGCGUUGCUCGGAAUUACUGGGCGUAAAGGGAGCGUAGGCGGAUAGUUUAGUCAGAGGUGAAAGCCCAGGGCUCAACCUUGGAAUUGCCUUUGAUACUGGCUAUCUUGAGUAUGGGAGAGGUUAGCGGAACUCCGAGUGUAGAGGUGAAAUUCGUAGAUAUUCGGAAGAACACCAGUGGCGAAGGCGGCUAACUGGCCCAUUACUGACGCUGAGGCUCGAAAGCGUGGGGAGCAAACAGGAUUAGAUACCCUGGUAGUCCACGCCGUAAACGAUGAGUGCUAGUUGUCGGCAUGCAUGCAUGUCGGUGACGCAGCUAACGCAUUAAGCACUCCGCCUGGGGAGUACGGUCGCAAGAUUAAAACUCAAAUGAAAUUGACGG
rnacentral:rRNA from 1 species